UGGUCUAUGGUGUAAUGGUAACACUACUGAUUUUGGUUCAGUCAUUCUAGGUUCGAGUCCUAGUAGACCAACAA
rnacentral:tRNA from 3 species